rnacentral:rRNA from 1 species
GAUCAGUAGCGGGUCUGAGAGGAUGACCCGCCACACUGGGACUGAGACACGGGCCAGACUCCUACUGGAGGCAGCAGAGGGGAAUUUUGGACAAUGGGCGCAAGCCUGAUCCAGCCAUGCCGCGUGUCUGAAGAAGGCCUUCGGGUUGUAAAGGACUUUUGUCAGGGAAGAAAAGGCUGUUGCUAAUAUCAGCGGCUGAUGACGGUACCUGAAGAAUAAGCACCGGCUAACUACGUGCCAGCAGCCGCGGUAAUACGUAGGGUGCGAGCGUUAAUCGGAAUUACUGGGCGUAAAGCGGGCGCAGACGGUUGCUUAAGCAGGAUGAGAACUUCCGGGGCUCGUCGCGGGCACUGUGUUCUGUACUGGGUGGCUCCAGUGUGUCACAG